UACAGAGGUCUCAAGCGUUGUUCGGAUUCAUUGGGCGUAAAGGGUGCGUAGGCGGCGCGGUAAGUCGGGUGUGAAAUCUUGGAGCUUAACUCCGAAACUGCAUUCGAUACUGCCGUGCUUGAGGACUGGAGAGGAGACUGGAAUUUACGGUGUAGCGGUGAAAUGCGUAGAUAUCUGGAGGAACACCGGUGGCGAAGGCGACUACCUGGCCUGUUCUUGACGCUGAGGCGCGAAAGCUAGGGGAGCAAACGGG
rnacentral:rRNA from 1 species